rnacentral:rRNA from 1 species
ACCAAGGCGACGAUGGGUAGCCGGCCUGAGAGGGUGUCCGGCCACACUGGGACUGAGAUACGGCCCAGACUCCUACGGGAGGCAGCAGUCGAGAAGCUUCCGCAAUGGGGGAAACCCUGACGGAGCGACGCCGCGUGAGUGAAGAAGGCCCUAUGGGUUGUAAAACUCUGUCAGAUUGGGAAGAAAGCUCUGUGAUUAAUACCCAUAGAGUUUGACGGUACCAUCAGAGGAAGCACCGGCUAACUCCGUGCCAGCAGCCGCGGUAAUACGGAGGGUGCAAGCGUUGUUCGGAUUCACUGGGUAUAAAGGGUGCGCAGGCGGACUGAUAAGUCAGAGGUGAAAUAUGUCGGCUCAACCGGCAAACGGCCCCUGAAACUGCCAGUCUUGAGUUCGAGAGAGGUAGGUGGAAUUCCAGGUGUAGCGGUGAAAUGCGUAAAUAUCUGGAGGAACACCGGUGGCGAAGGCGGCCUACUGGCUCGAUACUGACGCUCAGGCACGAAAGCAUGGGGAGCGAACGGGAUUAGAUACCCCGGUAGUCCAUGCCGUAAACGAUGGGUACUAGGUGUUGGAGGAUUCUACCCCUUCAGUGCCGCAGCUAACGCAUUAAGUACCCCACCUGGGGAGUACGAUCGCAAGGUUGAAACUCAAAGGAAUUGACGGGGGCCCGCACAAGCGGUGGAGCAUGUGGUUUAAUUCGAUGCAACGCGAAGAACCUUACCUGGACUUGACAUGCAGGGGACAGGUGUAGAAAUACACCCUUCUUCGGACUCCUGUACAGGUGCUGCAUGGCUGUCGUCAGCUCGUGUCGUGAAAUGUUAGGUUAAGUCCUGCGACGAGCGCAACCCCUGUCUUUAGUUGCCAACACGUAAUGGUGGGAACUCUAGAGAGACUGCCGGUGAUAAACCGGAGGAAGGUGGGGACGACGUCAAGUCAUCAUGGCCCUUACGUCCAGGGCUACACACGUGCUACAAUGGUCGGUACAAAGGGCUGCAAUACAGCGAUGUGGAGCGAAUCCCAAAAAGCCGGCCUCAGUUCGGAUCGUAGUCUGCAACUCGACUACGUGAAGUUGGAAUCGCUAGUAAUCGCGUAUCAGAACGACGCGGUGAAUACGUUCCCGGGCCUUGUACACACCGCCCGUCAAGUCAACCGAAUUGGUUGCACCCCAAGUCGCUGAGCUAACCCGUAAGGGAGGCAAGUGCCCAAGUGUGAUUAGUGAGGGGGACUAAGUCGUAACAAGGUA